UACGUAGGGUGCGAGCGUUUAAUCGGAAUUACUGGGCGUAAAGCGUGCGCAGGCGGCGCGUUAAGACAGGUGUGAAAGCCCCGAGCUUAACUUGGGAAUUGCGCUUGUGACUGGCGUGCUGGAGUGUGGCGAGAGGGAGGUGGAAAUUCACGUGUAGCAGUGAAAUGCGUAGAGAUGAUGGAGGAACACCGGAUGGCGAAGG
rnacentral:rRNA from 1 species